GCCAAGGAUGAUGGCACAUGCCAGUAACCUCAGCUCCUGGAGAGGCUGAAGCUGGCUCUCUUGAGUUCAGGAGUUCUGAGUUAUGAUGGGUUAGGUUGGUUGGGUAGCUAUACUAAGUUCAGCAUCAACAUGGUGACCACUAGAAGUGGGUAGCCACCAAGGUUGCUAAAGGAAGGGUGAACCUGUCCAGGUCUAAAAUAGUGCAAGUCAAAGGUUCUGUGCCCAUCAGUAAUGAGAUGGGGCUCAAUGAAUAGCCCUCACACUUCUUGAAGAGACCUAGUCUUU
rnacentral:SRP_RNA from 1 species